rnacentral:rRNA from 1 species
ACGGAGGGUGCAAGCGUUGUUCGGAAUUACUGGGCGUAAAGCGCGUGUAGGCGGACUCAGAAGUCGGGUGUGAAAGCCCCGGGCUUAACUCGGGAAGUGCGCUCGAAACCAUGGGUCUUGAGAACCGGAGGGGGUCGGGGAAUUCCCAGUGUAGGGGUGAAAGGCGUAGAUAUCAGGAGGAACACCGGUGGCGAAGGCGGCCACCUGGACGGGCUUUGACGCUGAGGUGCGAAAGUGUGGGGAGCAAACAG